rnacentral:rRNA from 1 species
GGGUCAGUAGGUUGGUCGUGCCACCGGUACGUACUGGUCUCACUGAUUCCUCCUUCCUGAAGAACCGUAAUGCCAUUAACUUGGUGUUGCGGGGAAACAGGACUGUUACUUUGAAAAAAUUAGAGUGUUUAAAGCAAGCUAACGCUUGAAUACAUUAGCAUGGGAUAAUGAAAUAGGACGAUCGAUCCUAUUUUGUUGGUUUCCAGGAUUGACGUA